AGUGAACGCUGGCGGUAGGCCUAACACAUGCAAGUCGAACGGCAGCACAGUAAGAGCUUGCUCUUACGGGUGGCGAGUGGCGGACGGGUGAGGAAUACAUCGGAAUCUACUUUUUCGUGGGGGAUAACGUAGGGAAACUUACGCUAAUACCGCAUACGACCUACGGGUGAAAGCAGGGGAUCUUCGGACCUUGCGCGAUUGAAUGAGUCGAUGUCGGAUUAGCUAGUUGGCGGGGUAAAGGCCCACCAAGGCGACGAUCCGUAGCUGGUCUGAGAGGAUGAUCAGCCACACUGGAACUGAGACACGGUCCAGACUCCUACGGGAGGCAGCAGUGGGGAAUAUUGGACAAUGGGCGCAAGCCUGAUCCAGCCAUACCGCGUGGGUGAAGAAGGCCUUCGGGUUGUAAAGCCCUUUUGUUGGGAAGGAAAAGCAGCAGGUUAAUACCCCGCUGUUCUGACGGUACCCAAAGAAUAAGCACCGGCUAACUUCGUG
rnacentral:rRNA from 1 species